ACCAGAAAACCGAGGCCAACAUCAUGCUGAGAGUAAGAUGCUGGAAGAUGCUGUGAGGAGACCAUAAUGCUGGGUGCCUUGGUAGUAUGCAGGAGGGAGUUUCCUGAAAAUCUAGUACUGGUGUAAGAAGAUAGUUUUAUUUUAAAAAGCAGGGAUCCAUUAGAAAGGGUGUUUGUGUUCCUAACAAUCUCCAAGAUUUCAGCAAUUUUGGAAAAGCUACCAAUUCAUCCUCCGGAUUAAUUAUCACUCUCCUGCAUGGCAAUUCCCGAGAAUAAAAAACGGUGUUUUAGGAGAAUCCUGGUUUUCCUGACUUGGAAGCUGGUACCUGGGAGCUUUGAGAAUCUGUGUUUGCCUGGCUUAGCAAAGUGUGUCAUCAAAAGCCUGGAGGAGACCCACACUCAGGAAUGGCUUGACAAUUCUCCAAGAACAACCCAGGCAGCUUUGAAGGAGUUUAUACCAGUGGAUUCAUCCCCCUGCAAGUGAACUUUAUUGGCCUGUUGCUCACAGAAAAUACAAUGGAAAGAACACAAUGUUUAGUUCAACACACGAUAGAAAGAGAAAAUAAUUCACAACAAGAAAAUAUCACUCAAAGUGUGUCUGAUUGCCUCUACCCUGAGGAUUUACAUUUCCACACAAGCUUCCAGGUGACGCCGAUGCUGUUGAUCUGGGAUGUGACCAUACUGUGAGAACCGUUGCUCUUGAGCAUGACUGCGGAGUGACAUCUGAGAAGAGCUGUGAGUGGCCUGUUGGAAACAGCUUUAAAAGAACAAUGUCUUCUUGGGGCUACACGAUUGCUCAGUGGUUAGGACACUCAUCACCAAGCCUGACAAUCUGGGUUUGAUUCCU